rnacentral:rRNA from 1 species
GCUGCGGCUGCUAUACUGCAGUCGAACGAAACUUUCUUACACCGAAUGCUUGCAUUCAUCGUAAGAAGUUGAGUGGCGGACGGGUGAGUAACACGUGGGUAACCUGCCUAAAAGAAGGGGAUAACACUUGGAAACAGGUGCUAAUACCGUAUAUCUCUAAGGAUCGCAUGAUCCUUAGAUGAAAGAUGGUUCUGCUAUCGCUUUUAGAUGGACCCGCGGCGUAUUAACUAGUUGGUGGGGUAACGGCCUACCAAGGUGAUGAUACGUAGCCGAACUGAGAGGUUGAUCGGCCACAUUGGGACUGAGACACGGCCCAAACUCCUACGGGAGGCAGCAGUAGGGAAUCUUCCACAAUGGACGCAAGUCUGAUGGAGCAACGCCGCGUGAGUGAAGAAGGUCUUCGGAUCGUAAAACUCUGUUGUUAGAGAAGAACACGAGUGAGAGUAACUGUUCAUUCGAUGACGGUAUCUAACCAGCAAGUCACGGCUAACUACGUGCCAGCAGCCGCGGUAAUACGUAGGUGGCAAGCGUUGUCCGGAUUUAUUGGGCGUAAAGGGAACGCAGGCGGUCUUUUAAGUCUGAUGUGAAAGCCUUCGGCUUAACCGGAGUAGUGCAUUGGAAACUGGAAGACUUGAGUGCAGAAGAGGAGAGUGGAACUCCAUGUGUAGCGGUGAAAUGCGUAGAUAUAUGGAAGAACACCAGUGGCGAAAGCGGCUCUCUGGUCUGUAACUGACGCUGAGGUUCGAAAGCGUGGGUAGCAAACAGGAUUAGAUACCCUGGUAGUCCACGCCGUAAACGAUGAAUGCUAGGUGUUGGAGGGUUUCCGCCCUUCAGUGCCGCAGCUAACGCAAUAAGCAUUCCGCCUGGGGAGUACGACCGCAAGGUUGAAACUCAAAGGAAUUGACGGGGGCCCGCACAAGCGGUGGAGCAUGUGGUUAAUUCGAAGCAACGCGAAGAACCUUACCAGGUCUUGACUCCUUUG